GUUGUUAUGCUUCCAU
rnacentral:sRNA from 1 species